CCUGUUUGGUUCAGCUUUUCACCACCAAGAAGUGAUUCUACAAUCCUCAAAAGUGAAAAGCUGAAUUUUCAAUGGUGUUUGAUUUGGCUUUUAAGAAUUGAUUCUAUCCUCCAAAAGCAAUUAUCCAUGAAGCUACAAAUCCUAACUUUUGGCUUUUGUAGAAUCAAUUCUACAUUAAACUAUUAUCAAUUCCAUAACUACCCUCUUAAUUAUCAUCAAUUUUUAUCACCCUUUCUCCAACCAUAUUUGCUUUUUUCUACCUGGAACCUUAAAUUCAUUCACUCCACUGUCCAGUUUUCUCUAGCUAGAACUCAACCACCCUUCACAAAUUUAAUCUAAAAAUUUAUUGCUAUUAGGUUAUAUAAAAACACCACCUCCUGCUAGCAANUUUGUUGUACUUUUUUUAAGAAUGUUGAAGGUUUGAUUUUACUAGACUUGUAAAACUAUUGUUUUCUUAUCAAUAAUAUCAUGAGUACUAGACUAUAGAUCUUAGAGCCUGUUUGGUUCAGCUUUUCACCACUAAGACGUGAUUCUACAACCCUCAAAAGUGAAAAGCUGAAUUUUCAAUGGUGUUUGGUUUGGCUUUUAAGAAUUGAUUCUAUCCUCCAAAAGCAAUUAUCCAUGAAGCUACAAAUCCUAACUUUUGGCUUUUGUAGAAUCAAUUCUACAUUAAACUAUUAUCAAUUCCAUAACUACCCUCUUAAUUAUCAUCAAUUUUUAUCACCCUUUCUCCAACCAUAUUUGAUUUUAUCUACAUGGAACCUUAAAUUCAUUCAAUCCACUGUCAACUUUUCUCUAGCUAGAACUCAACCACCCUUCACAAAUUUAAUCUAAAAAUUUAUUGCUAUUAGGUUAUAUAACAACACCACCUCCUGCUAGCAAAUAUUGUGCUCAAGAGAACAACAAAAAGGAAAAAUUCUGCUCAAAAGAUAACAACAACAACAAGGUAAUUUGGCAUUUUUGAGUGAUUUUUACUUUGAUUUGCUUACUUGUUUGUAUUAAAUUUAACCUUUUUUCUUUGC
rnacentral:lncRNA from 1 species